GGGAAACCGAGUCUUAACCGGGCGUUAAGUUGCAGGGUAUAGACCCGAAACCCGGUGAUCUAGCCAUGGGCAGGUUGAAGGUUGGGUAACACUAACUGGAGGACCGAACCGACUAAUGUUGAAAAAUUAGCGGAUGACCUGUGGCUGGGGGUGAAAGGCCAAUCAAACCGGGAGAUAGCUGGUUCUCCCCGAAAGCUAUUUAGGUAGCGCCUCGUGAAUUCAUCUCCGGGGGUAGAGCACUGUUUCGGCUAGGGGGCCAUCCCGGCUUACCAACCCGAUGCAAACUGCGAAUACCGGAGAAUGUUAUCACGGGAGACACACGGCGGGUGCUAACGUCCGUCGUGAAGAGGGAAACAACCCAGACCGCCAGCUAAGGUCCCAAAGUCAUGGUUAAGUGGGAAACGAUGUGGGAAGGCCCAGACAGCCAGGAUGUUGGCUUAGAAGCAGCCAUCAUUUAAAGAAAGCGUAAUAGCUCACUGGUCGAGUCGGCCUGCGCGGAAGAUGUAACGGGGCUAAACCAUGCACCGAAGCUGCGGCAGCGACGCUUAUGCGUUGUUGGGUAGGGGAGCGUUCUGUAAGCCUGCGAAGGUGGCCUGUGAGGGUUGCUGGAGGUAUCAGAAGUGCGAAUGCUGACAUAAGUAACGAUAAAGCGG
rnacentral:rRNA from 1 species